rnacentral:lncRNA from 1 species
CGCGUUUUUGACGUAAUGAAUUUUAAACCUAAUGCCUUUUGUUAUCUGUUAUUCAUGUGUUUCUAUGCCUAAUACGUUCUGCUAUUUAUUUGUAUUGAAGUCCUGUAUUAUUAUGUUGUCAUUUUAAUGUUAUAUUUAACGGUGCCAUCAAAGUGCGAGGUUUGGCAUGCCACAAAACCAGGUUCAACCCACCAUUUUUUUCUUUAAAAAUGUCCUGUACCAAGUCAGGAAAAUGGCC